UCAAAAUGAUGCUCAACCCUGACAUAGGAGA
rnacentral:piRNA from 1 species